AGGCAGGACCGCCCCGUACUACCCCCGUUUUUGCCAGCACUGGAACGUGGCAAGAUGGAAGAUCGCACGUAUCGCGAGAAAAUUCCAUGUCUUUUUUUCUAUAAAAAAUAUAAAGGGUCCUGUGCCACCAUACUCAGGAGGGAGGAUAGCUUUCGGAAAACAACCACAGAGACUCCGGGAAUGGGCGAAUCAUGGCAAAGACCGGACGGAAAAAAAUGGGCUCAUUUAUCAAAUGAAUGCCACGAACUUUCAAAGGAAAGGAGUCCUAUGACAGUGAAGCAGAUGUUUUUAUUACAUUCACAU